rnacentral:misc_RNA from 1 species
GUAGGUGAACCUGCGGAAGGAUCAUUAACACUCCAAAACACUCAUUACUCUUGGCAACAAGGGUAUAUGAAACCCUAUUCACAAGCGAACUAUACAAAAGAUACCAAGCCGCACUAAGAGGGCUCGAGGUUCCUAGAACCGCUUGUUCUUUUUUGCACUUGGUCCUUUUGGUCUUUUGUCCUUUUUUCUAUUCUUUAGCCCCAAACAUUUUAUUUAUUGUCUGACUGAGACGCAAGUCUCGUUGUUCUUC